UCUCCUGGUCUAUAAAGCUUGGCAGCUCAGCUAGGCUCGCCGGUCGCCUGGUUCGGACGGACGGAGGGACGGCCGGAGGGACGGUCGGAGGGACGGACGAAGGGAGGGAGGGGUGGCCGGCCGGGGCUCGAGGAGCGGCCAUGGGUCCGGCGAUGGCGGUGCGGCUGGGGCUGGUCCUUCUGCUCCUCGUGGGGCCCGAACAGAUUCACCCUCAAAACGUCUCGGUCCCGACCAUCCCAACCAACAACUCCUCAGUGAGCGUUACUUCUUCCCCAGUGACAAACCACUUCAACGGUACUACUCCCAAGGGGCACGGGAAUAACCUACAUGCGACGGCUGGCCUGUUCCUUCUCUCGCUCUCCCUGCUCCACCUCUCCUGCUGAGAGAUUCCAGGUUGGAAGCAGCUGAACCUCCCUCCGCGUCAUCCUGAACCUUCGGUGAUGGCUUCCCCUGCAAGCCCCGUGGCAGAAAGAUUCCAAACAGCUAGACCUUUGGCACCAAACCAACCCCCUUUACCUACCUGUUGAGUCCAUUGGAUCCAUCCAACUUGGCAUGCUGGCUGAGGUUCCAAGCUUGACCAAUUUGAAAAGGCUUUGGAGGGUUGAUUCACCUGGAAUUUCCAAAGCCAGAAUAGAGAGAGGGAGAGAGCAUGCAAUCAAAAUUACUUAAAAAUGUGGAUGUAUUAAAUGUGGCACAGUACAUUUGACGGACAGCUAGGGACCCAACUUGAAAAUUGCUUUGAAAAGAGACUCAGUUUUCACUUGUAGUCACUGAACCCACAUAGCCAAGAAAUAACAAAAGAAGAAAAAAAUUAUGACUGUCUGUAGAGCCUGGGUAUGUUCUAUUGGGUUUUGAUAUCCGUUUUUCUAAGAGCUCAAUCUUUUUCUCUGGAGCUCUGGAGUUGGCAUUCUGAUUACUCAGCUGUUUCUUAAACCAGAUGUGCCAGGCAAGGAGGACUUGUUUCCUUCCCGAAAUGCAGCAUAGUAAGCGCUCAAUAAAUAUUUUUUUUUAUUGAUCGAUAAUUGGGAAAUCUGACUUUUACCCAGUGAAGUCCGAGGAUUGACGCCUCCCCUUCCCUCCAUCUCUCUAACAAGGAGUCAAGUUUUAAUUCAGCUACCUUAGUUUCCUUCAUGCCAGAGCUUCCAAGUACACGACUCCUUAAGUUUCAAAUGCUGCUUCUUUUUUUUGCUUAAGUUGAAUCAUUUUUACUUUUUGAAGAUUAUCCUUUUUGGCAGUUCAUUUUAAACAUGAGUUUAAAAGAAAGAGACAAACCAUUACAAGCCAAAAAUGAGUCAAUCAGAUAUUUGGGAUAUGAGGACUGGUUUCUAACUUGCAUUAUGUUCACUGAAACUUUUAUACUCUUUCUGUAAAUACUUAUUUUUAUCUUUAUAAAUCAGAGUAGCUACCUUUGAAAGUUUGUUUCUGUAUCCAGUAUUUUUAGAUAGCGGCCUCAAGCUGGCUUUAUUCAGGAAGUAAAUAUUUUACAGCUCUUGAUGCAGAAAACUUUUUAGGAAAAAAAAAUUAAGCUUAGGACCUUUUCUGUUCACACUGUCACAUUCUAAUGCUUCAGUUUCACAAAACGCAACAGGGCGGGAACAUUCUAAGUAUGUAAGAAAACAAAGCAUCUCUGCUCCCUUUAAGACCAAUCCAGAUGUGCAGUGCAGAGUAUCUCGCGGUGUUGCCUGUGUGACUGCACAUUCCUUUAUGCUACAUGAUUUGUGGACUGUAUACUGCUUGGUUGUACAUUGUGUUUGUGUAAUUAUGCUUUGAUUCAUAGUGACAUCUCAUGUUAUGAAAUUGAUUUGCAUUGGACACAAACUGUAAAUAAAAAGAAAUAAACAGGAAUGGGCAUUGCAUUUCA